UUUACUGGUGGACUUCCCUCCC
rnacentral:miRNA from 1 species